rnacentral:tmRNA from 1 species
GGGGAUGCAUUGAUUCGACGGAAUAUUGCUCUUUAAAAACUGCAAGCCGACUUUGAUUACCAGUCGUAAAACAGAAUCAAAAAAUAAAUGCUGACGCUAUGCGUAGCAUCCGUCAAUUUGCCCUCAAGGCAAUUGAUGGGGUAAAUGCCCCAGUGGCACCUGCAUUAGCAGUUGCUUAAAAGGUAAAUACCUGUUCAUGUUCGUCUUUUCUCAACGGGACAGCAUGGGCAUAAAUACAGUUGAGAAAAAGCUAUAGAAGAUGGUUUGAUCUAUAGUGUUUUUUCAAACCUUGGUGUUAUUCAAUCCUGUCAAUUGGAAACGUAUAACACGACAAUUAAAUAAUUGACUACGCUUGUAGAUGUUUUUGAAAGUAUUUUUCGGACUGGAGUUCACUGCUCCACAUCUCCACAC